GGAGCUGUGUCUGAACUUAGGAGCCACUUUGAUAGAGUGGAACAUGGAGGUGAAAACCCUUCCAGCUCCU
rnacentral:tRNA from 1 species